rnacentral:rRNA from 1 species
CAAGUCGAACGAGACUUUUCGUUGUAGCAAUACGAUGGAAAGUUUAGUGGCGAACGGGUGCUUAACACGUGGGCAACCUGCCAUGAAGUGGGGGAUAGCUCGCCGAAAGGCGAAUUAAUACCGCAUGUGAUUAGAGAGGACAUCCUUUCGAAAUUAAAGUCGGGGCAACCUGACGCUUCUUGUGGGGCCCGCGGCCUAUCAGCUAGUUGGUGAGGUAACGGCUCACCAAGGCUUUGACGGGUAGCUGGUCUGAGAGGACGACCAGCCACACUGGGACUGAGACACGGCCCAGACACCUACGGGUGGCAGCAGUCGAGAAUUUUUGACAAUGGGGGAAACCCUGAUCGAGCGACGCCGCGUGGAGGAUGAAGGUCUUCGGAUUGUAAACUCCUGUCAUUUGGGAACAAGGUGCACACGUUAACUGCGUGCGUAUUGAUAGUACCAGAAGAGGAAGAGACGGCUAACUCUGUGCCAGCAGCCGCGGUAAUACAGAGGUCUCAAGCGUUGUUCGGAUUCAUUGGGCGUAAAGGGUGCGUAGGCGGCGCGGUAAGUCGGGUGUGAAAUCUCGGAGCUUAACUCCGAAACUGCAUUCGAUACUGCCGUGCUGGAGGACUGGAGAGGAGACUGGAAUUUACGGUGUAGCGGUGAAAUGCGUAGAUAUCGUAAGGAAGACCAGUGGCGAAGGCGGGUCUCUGGACAGUUCCUGACGCUGAGGCACGAAGGUCAGGGGAGCAAACGGGAUUAGAUACCCCGGUAGUCCUGACAGUAAACGGUGCACGUUUGGUGUGGGGAGGAUUCGACCCCUUCUGCGCCGGAGCUAACGCGUUAAACGUGCCGCCUGGGGAGUACGGUCGCAAGAUUAAAACUCAAAGAAUUGACGGGGGCCCGCACAACCGGUGGAGUAUGUGGCUCAAUUCGAUGCA